rnacentral:rRNA from 1 species
UACGAAUGGGGCAAGCGUUGUUCGGAAUCACUGGGCUUAAAGCGUGCGCAGGCGGAUUUGCAAGUCAGGAGUGAAAUCCUUGGGCUCAACCCAAGAAUUGCUUUUGAAACUGCAUAUCUAGAAUCCGGUAGAGGUCAGGAGAAUUCCUAGUGUAGAGGUAAAAUUCGCAGAUAUUAGGAGGAAUACCAGUGGCGAAGGCGCCUGACUGGGCCGGUAUUGACGCUCAUGUACGAAAGCGUGGGGAGCAAACAGG